CAGCCGCCGCGGUAAUACCGGCGGCCCGAGUGGUGGCCGCUAUUAUUGGGCCUAAAGCGUCCGUAGCCGGGCCCGUAAGUCCCUGGCGAAAUCCCACGGCUCAACCGUGGGGCUUCCUGGGGAUACUGCGGGCCUUGGGACCGGGAGAGGCGGGGGGUGCCCCUGGGGGAGGGGGGAAAUCCUAUAAUCCCAGGGGGCCCGCCAGUGGCGAAGGCGCCCCGCUGGAACGGGUCCGACGGUGAGGGACGAAGGCCAGGGGAGCAAACCGGAUUAGAUACCCGGGUAGUCCUGGCUGUAAAGGAUGCGGGCUAGGUGUCGGGUGAGCUUCGGGCUCGCCCGGUGCCGUAGGGAAGCCGUUAAGCCCGCCGCCUGGGGAGUACGGCCGCAAGGCUGAAACUUAAAGGAAUUGGCGGG
rnacentral:rRNA from 1 species